GGACAAUCGGGUUAUACCCGGAUUGAAACUUCAAGUCUUUUAGUCAGUUCUGCUUCCCACAUUUGUAGGCACGACUUUCAUUUUCAAACUACUCUCCAUCUAUGCACCAUUUAUGUAUUCAAAUUUCUUUCCAGCUUUCAUUCUUCGUUUUUGAAUUGUGAUUGUGAUAGCACGAUCGAGAUGGAACAGGUUGUAAGCGUGUGCCUUUGGGUCCUCUGUCUCCUUCAACACGUAAUGAUACAAGAAUCUAACACAACUCUUGCAAUCUGAUUAAUCUUGGUUUUGUGCUAUAGAUCGUACACUACACGUUUAUUGCUCUGUUCACAGGUUUGUUGUAUGGACUCUUUAGAUAAAUGUAAUCAUCUUACAUAUGUGUUUGAUUCUUUUAGAGCUUUAAAAAAAGAUGUGAAAUAGAUGUUUCAUUUAGAUUUACAGCUCCAACGGGACGAUCUUCUCCUGUUGAUGAGACCCCUGUGGAUUUUAUAGAGCAGAGUAUUGCCUUUUUAGCAAACUUCCAAGGUGAAAGUGUAUUUUUUACAAUUCAGGUCGUACUGAUGGUUUAAUGUCAUCGACAGUGGUAUGUAACGUGAUAGAAGGUGAUGUUUUGAGCGCUCUACUAGAGCACAAGCUUAGAGAAUUAAAUCUUGGGAUGGAGUCUUCCUGCCAUAAAGCAGGGGAAUUUGUUAGUAUUGCUUCAAGUUUUGAGGACAGGAAAGGGUUUACUCUAAAGAUCCAUUUCAUGAGGUCAAAAGAAAACGAGACAAGAGGAAAGAGGUUACAAUGAACGUGGGGUAUACUGCAUCACAACAGAAAAAGCACAGUGAAUCUUUAAUUCAAGGGAGCAAACACACUGCACAUUCUGAUCACAGUGUCAGUGGCAAAGGAAUUAUCCGGAAUUCUUUGCCGGGUAAAAAAACCUUUAAUCUUAUAUUAGAUGUUCAGAUUUCUUUGUGUUCCAGCUUUGCUGAUAUAAUGUUAAAGAUGUAGUUCAUUUGGAAAAUGUAUCGUGUAUAUUGAAAUAGCAUUACUUAGUGGGCGUUUGGAUCAUCGAUUGGAAUGAGAAUUAAGGGUAUGAAAAUGGUGAUAAAUGUUUACAGAGAUGAUAUAAAAUCCCAGGGAAUGAUAACCUACCUAAUGGGGAUGGCUAAAUGAGGUUCCCAUUCCAAGUAACCAAAUUGCUUACCCAAACACUAACGUACAGGAUUUAGGUUCUGAUUCCUGCUAUACGGGCUCAUUAACUAUGAAUAACCCACUUAGGAUAUGUGUAUGGAUACCAAGUUGUUAGACUCCAUAGAUAAUAAGUUAUCCACUUAUCCUCUAUACGGAUACUAAGUUGUCAUACUGCUGCUUUAGUUCAGUUAUGUUAAUUACUUCUGCUCUAGGGUGUUCUUUGUAAUUUACCAGUCAUCUUGGAUCAUCCAUUACAAAACGGGUAUGACCCAUCGCAAGUUAUAACUGGUACAUACACAUAAUUCACUCGGAUCCGGACUUUUAUAAGCGAUCCGACACUUUUUUGAAUUCAAUUGUCAGUUACGGUAACCCAUGAUUUCAGCACCAUUUCCUCCUUCGAUUUCAAAUUUUAGAAAACCGGUGACCUCAUGAAAUUCUCAUUCGAAUUCUGAUCAUAAUUCUACCGCAAGUGGAUUGCUGGCAUCAAUUUUUGCAUAUCAGGAACCAUGGAUAAUGGUCAGUUCGCUACUUCUCUGUGAUGUUUCAUUAUGUGAUAGCAGUGAUGAGUUUUCUUUUAGUUUUUUAGACUCUGUUGUAACUGGUCCUUCUAUUUCUUAAUAGUUCUGAUAAAUCCGAAAACUGAUGGAAUGAUCUGGGGAAGUUUUUGAAAAUUUAAGACAGUUAUUAUUUCGAGCCAUGAUUUCAGGCACCAAUUCCUCCUUGAAUUUCAAAUCAAGGAGAAUCAGUGACAUUGAUCCAUUCUACUGCAACAUCCGAUCAUAACACUUCUUCGCACUCAUUGAUUGGUUAUGAAUUAUAAUUUUUUUGCUGUUGUGCUAGGUUAUAAAAGUCCAUCUUUGUUCUUAAAUUUGUCUCCUUCACGCAAAUAUUGUAAUGGAUGUUAAUGAUAUCAUUUAGUCUAAAUUUAAUAUUUUUAAGUUUAAGUUUGUUACAAAGAACCAUAUUUGUUGCAGCUUACAGAAGAUGCAUGGAUCCAAUUGAAAAGUUUGCACCAUCAACUUACCAUCAAAACCACAUUUCAUCCAAUCCACAUACCCAUCCAAAAGUUCCUGUUAAUGGGGUAUUACAACUAUAUUUGCUGGUAUAGUCAUCAGUGACGGCAUUGUAUGCAAACCUUUGUCAGUUAGCACAACCGUGAAUUGACAUCUUUAAAUUUUAAGCUCAGCUAAUACGUCUGGCACAUUGGACAAUUUAGGUGUCAUUAGCUUAUAUUGAUAGUUCAUUUAUAAUAUAUUUAAAUUUAACUUCUAUGUAUACAUUGAUUUACUAACAUGUAAAUUAAUGCAUUGCUUCACUUUUAUAUUUCCAUUUCAGGCUUAAAAAUUUCAAGCUCAAUGGUUACAAAACAAGGGAAGGAAAAUCAGAUUCCAGGUUUUCAAGACAGGCUCGGCGCUCGGGACUCAAAGUCCAACCGGAAUUACACAGAAGGGAUUCAUAAGUUCAAGCCAGGCAUCGGGUAUUUAUAUAUUACGUGUUCUUAUUUUCUGAUGUAUAAUUCAAUAUAAUCAUGACUUUUUAAUUUAGUCAGUUCAAAGUUAAGUGGUGUCAUUCAAAAAACUCUCACACCAUCACAAAGGAGGUUGCGUGGUGUUGAUCUGGUGUUCAUCUGUUUGGUAAAUAUUUACACAUUUUAUGACCAAAGAAUUUAUAUUUAUGUUACUAUUCCGGUUCAUUUUCAUGAUCUUUCAUGUUCAGGACCAAGCCCACCUGUUUCUACUUCAAGGCUUAUAAACAGGAGCAUGAAUAGCUCUAUCAAGAAAACCAUUUUUCAUUCGCAGUUAUUAAGUCUAGAAUUUUCAAACUCAAUAAUAUAUGACAUUCAUAUGUAUAUCCACUCUUAGACUUCUGUCUGUUUUGUAGAUAACUUGAAUCUUUGCCUUUAAAUUCUCUCUUAAGUGAUUUGGAGUAUGCUCGAAGUCUAACAUUCAAUCUCCCAAGGUCUCAUCUCAUACUUUGUAGACAACUUCAAAAUGAGUGUAGUUGCACUUGCACCCAAAAAAGAAGUCAAUGCAAAAAUUAAGGAAAUGACCGAUUUGUUAACAGUUGUCUACGAUACAGAUGACCGAUAUAAUAAAAGUUGUCUACGAUACACCAGAGAACUUGGAUCAGGUAAUUGUUGAAAAUGUUGCAGCUGCAGAGUGAAGGGAGAUUUUUUAUUUAUUGUUUUUUUCGUGGAGUUAUAUGUAAUAUUUAUUUUACCAGCACAGUUUGUACAUGUAUUAGGUUUUCCUUGCCUUUUGAAAUUAGAGAGAUUUGGUUCUAUUAUCAGUCUUUAAUUUAAAAGUAAUUGCAUGCACAAUGAAAUUAUGGUGGAUUUUUUUUU